rnacentral:lncRNA from 1 species
UAGCUGCUGGUGAUGUUGUGGCUGAAACUAGAAGACAAGAACUUGAAAUCAUCAUUGGUGGAGGUGGCUAUGGUCCUGCUCCUGCUCCUGAAUAUUGCCCUCCUCCUCCUCCCCCUCCUGAACCCAUAUGUCCGCCUCCUCCGCCUCCUGAACCCAUAUGUCCAACUCCUCCGCCUCCGCCGCCUCCGCCGCCUCCUCCGCCUCCGCCGCCUCCUCCGCCUCCUCCGCCUCCUCCGCCUCCUCCGCCUCCUCCACCUCCUCCGCUUCCGCCUCCGCCAAAACCCCCUAGCCCAUCUGUUCCCUUUGCCAGCGAUCGAAUCCAACUUGCAUUCAAAGUAAUUCAAAGAUUCAAAAAGAGAAUCACUUAUGAUCCACAAGGAAUAGCAAAGACAUGGGUGGGUCCUGAUGUUUGC